rnacentral:lncRNA from 1 species
GGCAGGAAGAUGUCCAAGUCCCGUGCGGCGGAGGCAGCAGCGGGGGUGACAGCGACGGCCCCGAGCCCGCAGAUAGUGGAGCAGAGGGGUCCAGGGAGGCGCUGCACCGACGUUGGGGAGAAUGUAUGUCCUGGCAAUCAAAGAUCUUUUCCUCCGUGAGCCUAACAAAUGCUCUGGAAUGUGUUCCAGCCUUCAGGAGGAGAACUCCGUUACACGUCACGAAGUCAAAUGCCAGGGGAAACCAUUAGCUGGAAUCCACAGGAAAAGAAUGCAACACGGAGCACGAAGCCCAAGCACAGAAGAUCAAAGACGCCAGGAGAGGACCCCUCGCACCUUUUCCAAACCAAAAAUGUGAAGCAGCAGAACUUCCAAAACCUCCGGCCUCGUCUUGUGAUUCCACCAAUGCAGCCAUCGCCAAGCAAGCCUUGAAAUAGCCCAUCAAGGGCAAACAGGCCCCCGAAAAAAAGCUCAAGGAAAAGUCGCAAACUCACGGAUUUCUACCCUGUCCCAAGGAGCUCCAGGAAGGGCAAAGCGGAGCUGCAAUUUGAAGAAAGGGAAAGAAUAGAUGAAUUGGUUGAAAGCGGAAAGGAAAGAAGGAGUGAAGACUGACCUCAUCAAUGACAAAGGCCGGGUGUGAACACCAGAGGGAGCUCUCCCGGGGCGCCUUUGUGGUAGAAAAGCACCGGAGCCUCACGGAGAUCACCGACG